CGUAGGAAGGGAUUGGCAAUAAUUGAAUGUUCGCUUUCUAUUAGGUGUGUAUAUAUAGUCUCAAAAUUACAUGUAUUUGUAAUGGCGAGUAAUAUUUAUACUUAUCCUGUAGGAAAACUCGGGCGACCGCUGUAAUAUUUCUCUUUAAAACAGAGGAAGAUUGCGGCAAUAACAGGUCUGUGAUGCCCUCAGAUGUCCCGGGCCGCACACGUGCUACAUUGAUUAGCGCAGUGCGCAUACUUUCAAUAUGAUACAUUAGAUUGGAUUGUUCUGUUGAGCUCCAUCUAAUACUAUCCGGCUUGAGAAGGCUGGGUAAUCAAUUGUAAGUGCUGGUUCCUCCUCCCGUUGAGCAUUUUAAUAAUGGCCUCUCUACAUCCCUAGCAAUAUGCCUAGUGCGAUUGUAGUUGAGCCUUGCCAUUUAUGCAAGUGUCAAUUCUCAGUGGGGACAGACAUUUGAUAAUUCUUUGUCUCGUUCUUAACUAGGAAUGCCUUGUACGGGUCUUGGUUCAACAGACCACCCGGAAUACGUCCCUGCCCUUUGUACACACCGCCCGUCGCUCUUACCGAUGAAUUUCCCUGAGAGUUUGAAGGACUGAUGGUUGCAAAAUCAUUGGAAAUUCUGU
rnacentral:rRNA from 1 species